UGUUUGUGUGUGUGUGUGUGUUUGUACGUGAUAAGCGUAGACAGACGCCGCUGUAACAACAAGCCCCAAAACCCGACGAGCCUUUAUUGAAUUACACCUAAAACAAAAAGGAGGCUUAAGCGACCCAACUUGGUUAAGCGAUUAAAGCGUUCCCUUACAAUUGCCAACCCACAAACCUAAAAUCCUCAAAGCGAGUCGCAUUUGCCCACUCAUUAGGCCACACCGAACAACGAACCGUAUAGAGGCCCAAACUGUACGACUGCCCAUAGUCGUUCACUGUCAAUAUUAGCGCCAUUGCAACUGCAGGGUGUGGGCGAAUCUGCGCCCCGCCGCCGGAACCAAAAAGCAGCACCCUGAAUUUCUCAUCGUUUAAAUCCAGCU
rnacentral:sRNA from 1 species